rnacentral:rRNA from 1 species
GACGAACGCUGGCGGCGUGCUUAACACAUGCAAGUCGAACGGACAGGCCCUGCUUUUGUUGGGUGCUCGAGUGGCGAACGGGGGAGUAACACGUGAGUAACCUGCCCUUGACUUUGUGAUAACUUCAGGAAACUGGGGCUAAUACCGGGUAUGAUCUCCUGCUGCAUGGUGUGGGUUGGAAAGUUUCGGCGUUGGUGGCUCGACUCGCUGGUUAUCAGCUUGUUGGUGGGGUAGUGGCUUACCAAGGGUUUGACGGGUAGCCGGCCUGAGAGGGUGAACGGCCACAUUGGGCCUACGAUAGGGCCCAGAAUCCUACGGGCGGCAGAAGUGGAGAAUAUUGCGCAAUGGGCGGAAGCCUGAUGCAGAAACGCCGCGUGCGGGAUGACGGCCUUCGGGUUGUAAACAGCUUUCGACUGUGACGAAGCGUGAUUGACGGUAAUGGGUAAAGAAGCACCGGCUAACUACGUG